rnacentral:lncRNA from 1 species
AAAUGGUCUCCCUAUUGCUACUUGGAUCCUUCCUUGCCCUGCCCGUUGGAUCUUUGAUUUUUUUAUUUUUAUUUUUUUGAAUCAGAUCCUUGAUUGUUCAUCGUGGAUUGUCGAUUGUCACACACCUCCAGCACCCCUCUCCUGCUCUCCUUAUCCCAGGUACACACUAAUAGUACUAUAUUUUCCUUUUACUUUUUUAUUCUUUGCGGUACCAGGUGAAGAAGUUAGAAGUAGGAGAAUUUACAGUACUUGUCAACCCCUGUGGCAUGGCAUUUGUUGAGAUUUUCGGAUCUAUCCUUUUUUUUUUUUUUUUUGCAUAGAAACAUCGCUAUUUCAUUAACUUUUGAAUCUUUUUAUUCGUACACGUGAUCAAUGAGAGAUGAAAAUUUUUAUUUUGUAAAAUGUGAGGGAUUGUGGAUUAGAUUAUGUAAAUUUUGAUUUGAUAAUUUUGCCCUUCAAAAAUAAUGACGUGCAAGGCACGUGGUGGAUUCUAACCAAAGAUCAGUUGAAAACCUAGAUAUGAAUCAAAUUUGAUCGAUGUGAAUUUGUAAGGGAUUGUAAAAGUACAUCUUUAAAAGUGAGAGAUGAAAAAAAAUUAUUUUACAAAAUGUGAGAGACGUUUUGAACGAUUUUUCCUAUUACAAAUGAAAUUUCUCAGCCUUUUUUUCCCUUUUUUUAUUUUAAUCUGUACAGAGGAAGUCCAAAGUUUCGUGGUCAACGCACUUUUAUAUCUCGUAACCAUAACUUCUUCUUUUAUUUUACCUUAUUUUUGGGUCCAUAUCCUGCACAAUAGUAAGCAAUAGAAUAUGAAAAUUGAUGUAAAUAAGAAGGACAAUGUGCAAGAUGAAAUGAAACAUAAAUAAGAAAAAUGUAGCACUGCUGCAACUUUGGACAAAUAAACGAGGAGUGUGCUAAGUCUAUACCCCACUAUUGUAAAUCAACACGUUUUACAAGUAUUGAUACUAAUGAUACAGAUAAUCAGUGCAUGAGAAGUGUAAAUAUAAAACAAUUAACGUUUGUCAAGAAAAAAAAAUUAUGCAAUGUUAGUUUUUAAUUAAUUUUUCUAUCGUAAUAAAUUUCACUAUAAAGAAUGGAAAGUUACAUAUCUCAUAGUACUAUAUAGAAAAUUUUCACCAUUAAGCGUAGGUGAAAUCUCAUAUAUUUUCCGUCGCUUUUUCUAGCAAAAAAAGUCAACCAUGUAUAUUAAAAAAAAUUUUUUUUUUUUUUUGAGGGAAUCGUGUCUAUAAAAAGUUGAAUCGGUUGCUUUUGUGGGACUCAAAAUUACUCCAGAGAAAUCAUUAGGUGCAUACCCCCCACCCCGGGGCAGUACGUGGUUGUUUGCUAGUCAUUUUCUGGGAGGUUUAUCUUAUAUGCAUGCCCGAUGGACGAAAGCGGCGACUGAAACUUUUUUAAUCUCCUGUUGUAUACGGGAAUCCUGACAGGUACGCCGUCAAUUAUUACUCAUGUCCAGCGUAGAUCAUGG